rnacentral:tRNA from 1 species
GGGCCCGUAGCCUAGCCAGGAUAAGGCGUCGGCCUUCGGAGCCGAAGAUCCGGGGUUCAAAUCCCCGCGGGCCCGCCA